GAUGAACGCUGGCGGCGUGCCUAAUACAUGCAAGUCGAGCGAACAGACGAGGAGUUUGCUCCUCUGACGUUAGCGGCGGACGGGUGAGUAACACGUGGAUAACCUACCUAUAAGACUGGGAUAACUUCGGGAAACCGGCGCUAAUACCGGAGAAUAUAUUGAACCGCAUGGUUCUAUAGUGAAAGACGGUUUUGCUGUCACUUCUCGAUGGAUCCGCGCGGGAUUAGCUUGUUGGUAAGGUAACGGCUUACCAAGGCGACGAGGCGUAGCCGGCCUGAGAGGGGGAUCGGCCACGCUGGAGCGGAGACACGGUCCAGACUCCAACGGGAGGCAGCAGUAGGGAAUCUGCCGCAAGGGGCGAAAGCCUGACGGAGCGACGCCGCGUGAGUGAUGAAGGUCUUCGGAUCGUAAAACUCUGUUAUUAGGGAAGAACAAAUGUGUAAGUAACUAUGCACGUCUUGACGGUACCUGAUCAGAAAGCCACGGCUAACUACGUG
rnacentral:rRNA from 1 species